CGGGGGCAGGAAGUCAACAGCAUCCUGCAGAGAAUCAGGCCUCUCUUCAGCUGCCGGUGCCCUUCAGUCUAGAGUUUCUGCGGUCAGAACUCUCGGUUCCUUGCCUUAGAGACGAAGCCCUCCUCUUCCGUCCCCAUGAGGGAAGGGGGUGGUUGAAGCUGCUGGGUGCCAGCCGCCCGAGCCCGGGACCCAGCUGGAUGGAAGGCAGAAGCAAGACCUGGGAUGGGGCCCUGUGGUCUCCCCGGCCCGACUGGUGGCCUCGCGUUGGAAGCCGCAGCUGAAGAGCAAAUCUGUGGUGCUCUCUGAGUGGCACGUGGAAGGGACCCCAGGAGCCCAGGCCAGGCCGACAGGACCGCUGCCCACCCCCCACCCCCCCAGGCCUCUUCCUGUCCUCCCAGCAGCCUCAUCUCCACCCCACACCCUGAUUUCAGCUUUGGUCCGAAGGAUGCCCACCUAUAGGUAAAAGAAUGAAUUACGAGAAAACAUGGAGGGAAUGGCUAAUGGAAGAACCGAUCAGCAAGGAGUUCUAAGGUCCUAAAAUGUAUUACUCUCCAAUAAGACAAAAGGACUGCUGGUGUGACGUGUGUAGCGCAGGUCCUCACAAAACAAGCGUUGGCAUCAGGAAUCCUCCUAACAAGCCUGCUGUCUGAUAUAUGUUUGAGAAGUUAAGCCGCCAAGGUAAUAAGAAAUAUUCCUUGAUUAUUGGUAGAAACCAGGAACCAUGCUAAGCCCUUUCCACGUUUUAACUACUUGAUCCUUACAACAGCUCCAUGAGAUGGAUACUACUAUGAUAAAGAAGGAAACUGAGGCACAGAGAGGCCAGGCAUGUUACCCAAGGUCUCUCAGGUGAUCCCUGGAAAGCUACCAUUUGAGUCUGGGCAGUCUGUCUAUCAGGUCCGUGCUCAGACCUACUCUACUUUGCUACCCAGAGUGUGUCUGAGUGUCCAGGAGCCCCGUGGUCUUCCUAAUGAGAGGGAGGAAAAGCACAUCCCUUCAGCUCAGAGGCCUUGCCAGUGUGGUCUAGAUGAACAAGUCCAGCCCUGGGCCGUGGGCAUAAAGAGGGAAGCCGCUAACCUGCAGGGGGACAGUGUGGUCCUGGAGGCGCAUACACUCGUCUGCACGUGUGUGUGGGUGGGUGUGCUUGCAGGUGUGAUGCUCAGCUGUCAGUGAGGACCCUAAAAUAGAUGAAGGAUCUGAUCUGUGCUGUUUCUGGAGCUCCUGUGUGUCUCGCUCAUCCCCUGGUGCCUCUCAGACUACACCUGGCUGUGUGGCCCUGGGCUUACCCUCUCUGUGCUUCCUAGUUGUGAAAUGGAGCCAGUACUGGAGUUGUGGGAGGAUUCCACGACACGGUGCAAGAACCCGGUGUGCGUCUCUUGUGCCCGCGGGGCAUCCAGAAACACGCAGGCUGGCACCUGGGGUCCUCCUGGCUCACCAGCCACCAGGAGAUGGGACCUUUGAUCCUGGAAACCAGAACCAUCAUCAAAAGGGAAGGUUAAAGGCACUGGAAACCCUGAAACCUGGGGAAUGUUGUUUACUGAGAACACUUCACGAAAGCAAUCAUUGUUUUCUGAGAGAAGCCGCUCUCUAAAGGGCACUUGAAAUACCUCGCCAAGAAAUCCUCCAAGAACCAUCACCGUGACUCGCUCUGUGGGCUGCCUCCGACAAGGGGACUCACCAACCUUGCUCCAUCUGGAUCAGGAGAGGGGCAGGGGGUGGGGUCCGAGGCCGAGGACCAGGCCCACUCUUCCCAUAGAGCUCAGCUCUAAGGCACUGAAGUUUCUAUUUGUGAAUGGAUUGUAACAUGUUGGUGUAAAAAAGUACCAUAGUCCGUCACAGAACAGAGGGAAGCAGCAUAGACGCUUACUGCUUAGCAUAUACUAAGCCCCAAGAGAUGUCGGCUCUAAUAAUAAUAACUAUUUAUGUAUUAUAAGUAUUAUUUAUAAUA